ACCAUGUUCCUUUUGUAUAGUUAUUAUCUUAUGGGUGAAUUGUAUGUUUUUAUCAUGCAGCCGUGAAUACCAGCUAACCAUGGGAGCAUUACAAGUCUUAAAUACACUGGGGAAAAAUUGGUGGCAUGUCUAUAAGGUAAAAGAAAUAUAAAUCCCUAUAACUUGUUUUUGAUGUGGUCGUGAGUGAGAUUAUCUGCUGUGUUAUCUCUUGAAACAUUGAAAGCCUGGAUCAUAACGUGUCACACAAGAGACUAUAGAUU
rnacentral:lncRNA from 1 species